rnacentral:rRNA from 1 species
UACGUAGGGGGCAAGCGUUGUCCGGAAUCAUUGGAGUACGAAGAGCGUGUGAGCGGCCCGAUAAGUCCGUCGUGAAAGUCCAGGGCUCAACCCUGGGAUGCCGGUGGAAACUGUCGGGCUAGAGUCCGGAAGAGGCGAGUGGAAUUCCUGGUGUAGCGGUGAAAUGCGCAGAUAUCAGGAGGAACACCGAUGGCGAAGGCAGCUCGCUGGGACGGUACUGACGCUGAGACGCGAAAGCGUGGGGAGCAAACAGG